rnacentral:rRNA from 1 species
GACGAACGCUGACAGCAUGCUUAACACAUCAGCAAUUGAUUGGUGGCGGACGGGUGAGUAACGCGUAAAGAAGUUGCCUCACAGGUAGGGACAACAUAUGGAAACGAAUGCUAAUACCUAAUACUGUGGGAGAGUUUUGCGUCCCAUUAGCUAGUUGGAGAGGUAACGGCUCACCAAGGCGAUGAUGGGUAGCCGGCCUGGGAGGGGGCUCGGCCACACGGUGACUGGGACGCCGCCAUUACUCCUACGUGAGGCAGCAGUGGGGAAUAUUGGACAAUGUACCAAAGUCUGAUCCAGCCAUUCUGUGUGCACGAUGAAGUUUUCGGAAUGUAAAGAUCUUUCAGUUGAAAAGCGGUACCAACAGAAGAAGUGACGGCUAAAUACGUGCCAGCAGCCGCGGUAAUUC